AAGCUCGUAGUUGAAUUUCGGGAUUAGUACGUCGGUCGUGCCUUAGGUACGUACUGGUGUUACUGGUUCCUACCUUCUGACGAACCAUCAUGUCAUUAAUUUGGUGUGGUGGGGAAUCAGGACUGUUACUUUGAAAAAAUUAGAGUGUUUAAAGCAGGCUCGCGCUUGAAUACAUUAGCAUGGAAUAAUGAAAUAGGACGUUGAUCCUAUUUUGUUGGUUUCUAGGAUUGACGUAAUGAUUAAAGGGAUAGUUGGG
rnacentral:rRNA from 1 species